rnacentral:lncRNA from 1 species
AGUCAGAGGCGGCGAGAAGGAGAUGCGCUGCAGAGCAGGCCCACUGGCAGUCAGCAGCACCACGUCUGCGGUCAUCACCUCCAAGCUGUGAGACUGUAGUGAGGUGGUGAAGUGCACAUGCACCUCGUGCCUCCCCUGAGAGAUCGACACCACUGGCGCAUUCAGCAGCACCGUCCCUGACAGCGAGCUCAGGAGCGCUCGCGGAAGCAGGUCCCAGCCACCCACGAUGCGGCUGUACCUACAGAACGGGCAAAGAAGGGCGGGCACACUGACCACAGUCGAAACACAGCUCUUAAGGCCCUGCCCCCUCUGGCCCUGCCUCUCCCAGGAUGCCCCGCCUUGUGGCUUGCCCUAUCCGUUGUGCCCUCACCGGAGUCGGUCACUCAGGCAGGCGUGCGCGCGAAAUGCUUCUGCAAGGCUGAGGUAGAAAAAGCCUUCCUUGGACAUCACAUCUCCCAGGAGCUGCACGGCCGGCUGGGACAGGUUGCCCUCCUUGAGGAGGUAUUCCUAUGCAGUGGGUAGGGGCACUCAUCAGACCCUUCCUUCCUGCAUCACAACUAUCUCUUGUGACAGGAGAGGGAAACCUUGCCUCACUCACCAGGAGUGUAUGCUCGCUGAACAUAUUCAUGGCUUUCUUGCAGCCCAAGACCUUGACGUCUUUGAUGGCCUGUGGGGACAAUCAGAGAACCCUGGUUGCAGCAGGGACAGCAAUUCACCUCAUUCCAAGUCCCAGCCAUUGGCUCAUGAUGCAUGCUCCUCCUCUGAAGCUGGGAGUCUUCCAAAUACUGGACUUCUGUUUGCCCACCCAGUCAAUG